GACCCCGGGACAAGGCAGGGAGAGGCCAGGCCCACUCUUCCCCUCACCGCUCACGUGUGCCUGCCACGGAGCCCGGGGCUGGACUUGAGCAGGCGGGGAGAAGGCGGAGCAGUGACUCAAGGAAGGGCGGGCGGAUACGCCGCAGGGACAUCUCUACAGGGCUCUGUCCCUUCAGGAGCUUCCCGGAAAUGCUUUACGGCUGCAUUUGCAACGCGCAGCGCCUCCAAGUGCUGGUGGGGCAGUCAGAAAGGGUUUGAGAGUUCCUGUUACACAUUCUUACCAACUCUUAAGGUUGUGUAUUUAGCUAUUCUGAGAAACCUUGCCCAUCCCCUGAGGACCUUUAUCUCCCCCUCAGUGGAACGUGCUGUCAGUAGAAUUGGCUUGUGAAGAACUGCAAGGCUCCAUGCCCAAUAUGGGGCUUAAACUCAU